UGGGGAAUAUUGGACAAUGGGCGAAAGCCUGAUCCAGCCAUGCCGCGUGUGUGAAGAAGGCCUUUUGGUUGUAAAGCACUUUAAGCGAGGAGGAGGCUACUUAGAUUAAUACUCUAGGAUAGUGGACGUUACUCGCAGAAUAAGCACCGGCUAACUCUGUGCCAGCAGCCGCGGUAAUACAGAGGGUGCGAGCGUUAAUCGGAUUUACUGGGCGUAAAGCGUGCGUAGGCGGCUUCUUAAGUCGGAUGUGAAAUCCCUGAGCUUAACUUAGGAAUUGCAUUCGAUACUGGGAAGCUAGAGUAUGGGAGAGGAUGGUAGAAUUCCAGGUGUAGCAGUGAAAUGCGUAGAGAUCUGGAGGAAUACCGAUGGCGAAGGCAGCCAUCUGGCCUAAUACUGACGCUGAGGUACGAAAGCAUGGGGAGCAAACAGG
rnacentral:rRNA from 1 species